rnacentral:rRNA from 1 species
AUUGAACGCUGGCGGCAGGCCUAACACAUGCAAGUCGAGCGGCCGUAGCAAUACGGCAGCGGCAGACGGGAGAGUAACACGUGGGAACGCGCCCUUCGGUUCGGAAUAACUCAGGGAAACUUGGGCUAAUACCGGAUACGCCCUUACGGGGAAAGAUUUAUUGCCGAAGGAACGGCCCGCGUCCGAUUAGCUUGUUGGUGAGGUAACGGCUCACCAAGGCAACGAUCGGUAGCUGGUCUGAGAGGAUGACCAGCCUCACUGGGACUGAGACACGGCCCAGACUCCUACGGGAGGCAGCAGUGGGGAAUAUUGGACAAUGGGCGCAAGCCUGAUCCAGCCAUGCCGCGUGGGUGAUGAAGGCCCUAGGGUUGUAAAGCCCUUUCGGCGGGGAAGAUAAUGACGGUACCCGCAGAAGAAGCCCCGGCUAACUUCGUGCCAGCCGCCGCGGUAAGAC